GGGGCCAUAGCUCAGCUGGGAGAGCGCCACACUGGCAGUGUGGAGGUCAGCGGUUCGAUCCCGCUUGGCUCCACCA
rnacentral:tRNA from 4 species